UGCUCAAUUGUUUCUUAUUCACUUUUCUGCUC
rnacentral:piRNA from 1 species